UACGGAGGAUCCAAGCGUUAUCCGGAAUUACUGGGCGUAAAGAGUUGCGUAGGUGGCAUUGUAUGUCGGUAGUGAAAGCGUGGGGCUCAACCUCAUAAACAUUAUCGAAACUGCAAAGCUAGAGGACGAGAGAGGUUAUUGGAAUUCCCAGUGUAGGAGUGAAAUCCGUAGAUAUUGGGAGGAACACCGAUGGCGUAGGCAGAUAACUGGCUCGUUCCUGACACUAAGGCACGAAAGCGUGGGGAGCAAACGGG
rnacentral:rRNA from 1 species